AUUGAACGCUGGCGGCAGGCCUAACACAUGCAAGUCGAGCGGAUGAAGGGAGCUUGCUCCUGGAUUCAGCGGCGGACGGGUGAGUAAUGCCUAGGAAUCUGCCUGGUAGUGGGGGAUAACGUCCGGAAACGGGCGCUAAUACCGCAUACGUCCUGAGGGAGAAAGUGGGGGAUCUUCGGACCUCACGCUAUCAGAUGAGCCUAGGUCGGAUUAGCUAGUUGGUGGGGUAAAGGCCUACCAAGGCGACGAUCCGUAACUGGUCUGAGAGGAUGAUCGGCCACAGGGGGACUGAGAUACGGCCCAGACUCCUACUGGAGACAGCAGUGGGGAAGAUUGCACAAUGGGCGGAAGGCUGAUGCAGCAACGCCGCGUGCGGGAUGACGGCCUUCGGGUGGGAAACCGCUUUCGCCUGUGACGAAGCGGGAGUGACGGUAAUGGGUAAAGAAGCACCGGCUAACUACGUG
rnacentral:rRNA from 1 species